rnacentral:rRNA from 1 species
UACGUAGGGUGCGAGCGUUAAUCGGAAUUACUGGGCGUAAAGCGUGCGCAGGCGGUUUUAUAAGCCAGAUGUGAAAGCCCCGGGCUCAACCUCGGGAAUGGCAUUUGGGACUGUAAGGCUGGAGUAUGGCAGAGGAGACUAGAAUUCCUGGUGUAGCAGUGAAAUGCGUAGAUAUCAGGAGGAAUACCGAUGGCGAAGGCAGGUCUCUGGGCCAAUACUGACGCUCAUGCACGAAAGCGUGGGGAGCAAACAGG